AAAGAUGGUUCUAGGUCAGUAGUGGGAGGCCUUGCAGUUUGUAAGUUUCUUACUCGAACUAUGCUAUGGAAGUCCAGGAAACAAACACUGAUUGCCAAGUACCAUCAGAACACUAGAGCACUAUCUUGUGGAAUUAAGUUUCUAAAUUCAUUCAAUAAAACAAAAAACAUGAACACCACUCUGAAUUUCUAUAUUUUAACAAUACCAUAUUCUCUAAUAAAAAUGACUUACACUUUUAUUCUUUUUAGAUCUUUCCCAGUCACUCAACAAUUUAUUAUAAAUUCUGGUGUUAAAGCUAUUGAAGCAUCAUAA